UACGUAGGUGGCUAGCGUUGUCCGGAUUUACUGGGCGUAAAGAGCGCGCAGGCGGUCGUUCAAGUCGAGUGUGAAAGCCCCCCGGCUCAACUGGGGAGGGUCACUCGAUACUGAUCGACUCGAAGGCAGGAGAGGGAAGCGGAAUUCCCGGUGUAGUGGUGAAAUGCGUAGAUAUCAGGAGGAACACCGAUGGCGAAGGCAGGUCUCUGGGCAGUAACUGACGCUGGAGGAGCGAAAGCGUGGGGAGC
rnacentral:rRNA from 1 species